UACGGGGGGGGCAAGCGUUGUUCGGAAUUACUGGGCGUAAAGGGCUCGUAGGCGGCCAACUAAGUCAAACGUGAAAUCCCUCGGCUUAACCGGGGAACUGCGCUUGAUACUGGAUGGCUUGAGAUUGGGAGAGGGAUGCGGAAUUCCAGGUGUAGCGGUGAAAUGCGUAGAUAUCUGGAGGAACACCGGUGGCGAAGGCGGCAGCCUAGACCAACACUGACGCUGAGGAGCGAAAGCCAGGGGAGCAAACGGG
rnacentral:rRNA from 1 species